rnacentral:rRNA from 1 species
AACGCGAAGAACCUUACCCAGACUUGACAUGCAGAGGAAUCUAGCAGAGAUGUUAGAGCCCGUAAGGGCCUUUGCACAGGUGCUGCAUGGCUGUCGUCAGCUCGUGCCGUGAGGUGUUGGGUUAAGUCCCGCAACGAGCGCAACCCUUAUCGUUAGUUGCCAGCACGUAAUGGUGGGGACUCUAACGAGACUGCCUGGGUUAACCAGGAGGAAGGUGAGGAUGAUGUCAAGUCCGCAUGGCCCUUAUGUCUGGGGCCACACACGUGCUACAAUGGCCGGUACAGAAGGCAGCGAAGUCGUGAGAUGGAGCAAAUCCCAAAAGCCGGUCUCAGUUCGGAUUGUAGUCUGCAACUCGACUACAUGAAGCUGGAAUUGCUAGUAAUGGCGUGUCAGCUACAACGCCGUGAAUACGUUCCCGGGCCUUGUACACACCGACGCGUA